rnacentral:rRNA from 1 species
GUGAGUAACANGUGGGUAACCUGCCUGCNAAGACUGGGAUAACUCCGGGAAACCGGGGCUAAUACCGGAUGGUUGUUUGAACCGCAUGGUUCAGACAUAAAAGGUGGCUUCGGCUACCACUUACAGAUGGACCCGCGGCGCAUUAGCUAGUUGGUGAGGUAACGGCUCACCAAGGCNACGAUGCGUAGCCGACCUGAGAGGGUGAUCGGCCACACUGGGACUGAGACACGGCCCAGACUCCUACGGGAGGCAGCAGUAGGGAAUCUUCCGCAAUGGACGAAAGUCUGACGGAGCAACGCCGCGUGAGUGAUGAAGGUUUUCGGAUCGUAAAGCUCUGUUGUUAGGGAAGAACAAGUGCCGUUCAAAUAGGGCGGCACCUUGACGGUACCUAACCAGAAAGCCACGGCUAACUACGUGCCAGCAGCCGCGGUAAUACGUAGGUGGCAAGCGUUGUCCGGAAUUAUUGGGCGUAAAGGGCUCGCAGGCGGUUUCUUAAGUCUGAUGUGAAAGCCCCCCGGCUCAACCGGGGAGGGUCAUUGGAAACUGGGGAACUUGAGUGCAGAAGAGGAGAGUGGAAUUCCACGUGUAGCGGUGAAAUGCGUAGAGAUGUGGAGGAACACCAGUGGCGAAGGCGACUCUCUGGUCUGUAACUGACGCUGAGGAGCGAAAGCGUGGGGAGCGAACAGGAUUAGAUACCCUGGUAGUCCACGCCGUAAACGAUGAGUGCUAAGUGUUAGGGGGUUUCCGCCCCUUAGUGCUGCAGCUAACGCAUUAAGCACUCCGCCUGGGGAGUACGGUCGCAAGACUGAAACUCAAAGGAAUUGACGGGGGCCCGCACAAGCGGUGGAGCAUGUGGUUUAAUUCGAAGCAACGCGAAGAACCUUACCAGGUCUUGACAUCCUCUGACAAUCCUAGAGAUAGGACGUCCCCUUCGGGGGCAGAGUGACAGGUGGUGCAUGGUUGUCGUCAGCUCGUGUCGUGAGAUGUUGGGUUAAGUCCCGCAACGAGCGCAACCCUUGAUCUUAGUUGCCAGCAUUCAGUUGGGCACUCUAAGGUGACUGCCGGUGACAAACCGGAGGAAGGUGGGGAUGACGUCAAAUCAUCAUGCCCCUUAUGACCUGGGCUACACACGUGCUACAAUGGACAGAACAAAGGGCAGCGAAACCGCGAGGUUAAGCCAAUCCCACAAAUCUGUUCUCAGUUCGGAUCNC